rnacentral:rRNA from 1 species
UACGUAGGGUGCGAGCGUUAAUCGGAAUUACUGGGCGUAAAGCGUGCGCAGGCGGUUCGUUGUGUCCGGUGUGAAAGCCCCGAGCUUAACUUGGGAAUGGCAUUGGAAACUGGCGAGCUGGAGUGUGGCAGAGGGGGGUGGAAUUCCACGUGUAGCAGUGAAAUGCGUAGAGAUGUGGAGGAACACCGAUGGCGAAGGCAGCCCCCUGGGCCAACACUGACGCUCAGGCACGAAAGCGUGGGGAG